AUAUUAGAACACAUAACUUGGACACUGAUGGUUAAUUUUAUGUGUCAGCAUUGUGGGGAGAAGUGGGAGCAAAAUGGGAAAAUCCUCUUCCCAUGAUAUUUCUCUAUAACAUGCAUCAAUGAUUAUUAUUUUUGAGCACCCACUGUCCCCCUCAGGCAUUGUGCUAUGAGAGAGAUCAUUUGUUGUUUCACUAUCCCUAUGAAAUAAGCAUUUCUAUCAUUCAAACUGUUGGUUGUGAGCAAGUUCUGUCAAACAAAAUGUGUUUAAAACAAAUAGGGGAAGGUAGCCAGGUGUGGUGGCUCAGAUGAUUGCUAGCAAUAAAGUAUUUUUAAUUAAGGUAUGUACAGUGGUUUUUAGAUGUAAUGGUAUUGCACACUUAAUACACUAUAGUGUAACUUUUACGUGCACUGGGAAAUCAAAAAUUCCUAUGACCCACUUUAUUGCAAUAUUUGUUUUAUUGAGGUGGCCUGCAACCAAACCUACAGUAUCUCUGAGUUAUGCCUGUGUAUAUUAUUUGGAGAACAUUGACUAGUACAGAUACUCAGCCGGAAUUCUGGAUACGCUUCAGGUAUGGCUGUAUCCAGGAUCUUUAACAAUGUCAUUAGGCUCCACCAUCUCUUGCCAGAUCUUAGACAAGAGUUAUUCAUAUGGUACAUGUGAUGGGUGACACUGGCAACCCUGGCUCAUGUCCUAAACGUAGCCACCUUAAGAAAGAAAGAACAUCUCCCUAUAUUCACCUGAUUAGCCUCCCUUGGGUCAUGUGUCUAUUCCUGAACCCAUCACUGUGAUCCAAGGAUGUGAUACAAUGGAAGGGCACCAGGAUUGAUAAAACCUAAGGAGUCCAGGAGUCUUACAAAGCAAGCCUGAGAGGAACACAAGGAUGGAUCAAGUAGGCACUGUGACUAUGCCCGUUUUACAGUUGAGGAAACUGGCCCAGAGUGUUUAAGUGAUUGGCCACGUACAAGCCUCAGAGCUGGUAAACAUCAAUGCCAGGAUUUAAGCCCAGGCCUCUCCACAGGGCCUUAAUUCCUUCUCCAUACUACCUCUCACCCUUUAGUCCUGGCCAAAAGCCAAAAUCUUCCAACACCCCAAUCCCUGGUCCUCACAUGCAGGUGCCCACCCUGCACCUGGCACAUAGUAGGGGUGCAGUAAGCUUAAGUACUGCCCCUGCAGCUGGACACAGCCCUCAGUGCCUUGCUACAGGCAGCUCUGUCUAAUCUGCCCCAUCAGAUCUUUAUUUGGAUCUUUCUCCCUGCCUCAGCUCUGAGAAGGAACCCGAGUGACCAGCUGAGCCUGCCAGGCAGUUGGCAUCAGUCCCCACCCAGCUGUCCCCAUCCUCUGAUACAUUUUUAUUCCUUUUGAGAACUACCCAAUUUAGACAGCUCAAAAACAGAUGUUUCUUAACAACUAUAGUUUCCAUGGGUAUUUUUGGUUCUCUAAUCUUGGUAAAUUGUUGGGAUUUUGCUGGUUCUCUGGGUAGAAGACAAAGCUGCUUCCAUCCAAGCCUCGCUUGUUAUGAUGGGCCUUGCUAUGGCAGCAGUGAGUUGGCAGAAUACUUAGACACAGCAUUCGUAUCUAUUGCUGCAAGCAAAUCUACCCCAGAACUUGGCAACUUAAAACAAUAAACAGUUGUUGUCUCACAGUUCCUGCGGGUCAGAAAUUCAGGAGCAACUUUAGUCUGAGCAGUUCUGACUCUGGGUCUCUCAUCAGGUUGCAGUCAGGAUGUCAGCUGCAGCUGCAGUCUCAUCUGAAGACUGAACUGGGGCUGGAGGAGCUGCUUCCAAGAUAGGCCACUCACACAGCUGCUGGCUGGAGAUCACAGGUCCUCACCACAUGGGUCUCUCCACUGGGCUGCUUGAAUAUCCCCACGACAUGGCAGCUGGCUUCCCUAGAGUGGGUGAUCCUCAAGAGAGCGAGGAGGGAGCCACAAUGUCUUUUAUGACCUUGCCUUGGAAGUUGCACACCAUCACUUCCACUUUGUUCUAUUCAUUAAAAGGGAGUCAGUAAGGCUAGCCCACACUCAAGAGAUGUAGAAUUAGGCUCCAUCUUUUGAAGGAAUUAUCAAAGACUGUGUGAACAUAUUUUAAACCAGCACAGACAAUAUGAUAUAAUGCAAAACUUGCCUCCAAUUCUUUACCCUUCUUUGUAUUCUCACCCUUGCCAAGCGACUUUGCAGUUCCUCCCGUUAAAAGAACAGAGUACCAUUUCCCACCUAUUGACCCUGGGUUUGGCCCUGUGACUUGCUAGGGUCAAUAGAAUGAGGCAGGAGUGACUCUGUGUGGUCCUGAGUCUAGGCCUCAAGAGACUUUGUGUGUUUCUGCUCACCCCCUUGCACUCCUGCCAUGAGCAGGAGGGGAAUAUGCCAAGGCUAGUCCACUGAUCCCAGGACAGGAUGAGAGACACAUGGAUGAGCACACAGCUGCCCAGCUGAGCCCAGCCUGGCUCAGCCAACCCACAUUAGACAUGCGAGCUAAAUCAACACUUACUGUCCUACAGCACAGAGAUUUGGGGGAUUGUUUGUUACACAGCAUUACCAUCACCACACUUAACUGACAGAGGCAUGUGGGCUUGAAAGUCAGCCAGUCUUGGCUUCAAGUGUCAGCUCCCCCACUCUUCAGCCACGUGACCCUGGACAAAGCACUUCACUUCCCUGAGCCCCCAGCGACCUCAUCUGUAAAAUGGGUAUCAUGACAUCACCUCUCUCAUAGAGGCUUUGUGAUGAUUAAGAUCAUGCCAGUAAAGUGCUUUGAGCACCAUCCUGCCCCAUUGUGAUUAUUAGGAAUGACACAUCUGGGCCUAUUGUCCCAAUAUUGAUGUGCAGCCAACAGUAGGAUUAAUUCUCUAGCUCAGACACCUGCUAUAGCUCCCUAGUUCCAGGUUCUCCAGUGUGGUCUCCCAAGGCUCCCUUCCCCCUCUCAUGCUCACUGACCACUCACCCUCAGUCUCUUACCAGCCAGGACAGGCAGCUGAUGAACAUCUUGGACCCAGAGCUCCAGCCCCACACACCCGUGACCUUCCCUCCACACCAGGCCACCUCGUUGUCCCUGCUCAGCUCCUAUGAGACUGUGGGACAGUCUCUAACCUCCCUGGGCAACUCAUGUAGGGGUGGAUGGCACAGGCUAUUGAGUCAGCCACACUGGGCUCUGAAUUCUGCCUUCACCACUUACCAGCUGGGUGACUUUCGGAAGUGAUUGUACCUCUCUAGACUUCUGUUUACUCACCUGCAAAAUGAGGGUCAUUAUAAUACUUAGUUUAUCAGGUAGUUGUGGGGAUUUGAUACUAUCAGACAUAUAAAAUCAUUCUCCUAUGCCAGGCACGUUUAAAGUGUAAGUACUGGUAGUUAGCUAACAUUUACUACAACUAACAAUAAUGUCUCCAUCUGUGAAUGAAGGGGCUGGAUUUGUCUAAAGUUUCUUUGGACACUGACGUUGGAAGCAUAAGCUGAAGGGUUUCUGUGUGUGGGAGUACAAGGAGAAGAGUCCCCAUGGACAGAAUUCCAGGUUGUCACUUCCAACACUAUUAUCUGCUUUACAUACUGGGAUGCUUUAUGUGAGGUUAUCCAGGAAACAAUUUCUUUGCUUAAAAAAAAAAAAGUUUGGGGCCAGGUGCGGUGGCUCAUGACUGUAAUCCCAGCACUUUGGGAGGCUAAUAGGGGCAGAUCACCUGAGGUCAGGAGUUCGAGACCAGCUUGACCAACAUGGUGAAACCCCAUCCGUCUCUACUAAAAAUACAAAAUUAGCAGGGCGUGGUGGCACAUGCCUGUAAUCCUAGCUACUUGGGAGGCUGAGACAGGAGAAUCACUUGAACCUGAGAGGCAGAGGUUGUGGUGAACCAAGAUUACACCAUUGCACUCCAGCCUGGGCAACGAGAGCUAAACUCCAUCUCAAAAAAAAAAAAAAGAAAAAAAGUUUGGAAACCACUGGAUCAAGUGGUCUUUAAGGGCCUUCCCGGCUUUCCCUUUUGGGAUUUCACUGCAAGAAGCCAACUAAAGGCUGAGCAGUGGGUACAAGGGGCUGCAGCGCUUAAGUUCAGCCUCUAGAAACUUCAAGGGCCAAGCAAAAGUCAUUCCCUGGCUCCAGGCGUGGUGCAGUGCCUCUAUGAUCGCCACCCCCCGGAACACCCACUCUCUGAUGGCUUCUGUCCUCCAGACCUCGCCAUGCUCUGUUUCCUUUUGUGUAUUUAAAACCCACUUCUUGGCUCCCAGCCACAGUCUGCUAGAAGUUAACAAUGUGGAGCGGGGAGGUUGAAGACGCAAAUCAAAUAAACUCCCUGAACUGAAACCCCAGCAGUAGGAAUCUUCAGAGGGCUGGCUGGUUCAGGGAGUGGGCUUUCCAGCUCCCUGUCUUUUUUGAUCUUUCAUUAAGAGCUUGUUUUGAUUCUGUGGUUGCUACGAUACGGGAGCAUUUGGUGGCUGUUUCUAAGAGGCCACGUGGAUGACUGUGUCUGUUCCACCUCAUCACAAGAACACAGUGGGUGGCCAAGCUUGGAGGCUAAGUGAGGAGGGUAGGAUUGGAGGUCAGGGACAGGGGCUGUUUAAUGGGGUCUACAGGAGGAGCUGAGCUGGCUCCAAGGUGUGGCAACCACAACCACUGUUACCCACCCCAUGGACAUUGCCUGCAGAGUCUAUUCACCUCUGACACGCUGGGUGACCUACAGAAAGUCUCUCCACCUCUCCGAGCCACAGUAUACUUAUCUGUCGAAGAAGGUGACUGAAUGACAUGUGCCUGAAUGACCUCACAAGGGUGAGGAAAAGAAGUGGGACAAGAAAAAUGAAUCCUAGUCGAGUGUCGUUACAGGCUACACAUCAUCUCAUGUCAUCCUUACGACACCGCCAUUUCAUGGAUGUAGAAGGUGAGACCCGGAGCAGUGCAGUGACCUGUUCAAAGUUGCACAGCCUGGGAGACGAGGCUGGGACAGCUCCACUCACACCUCCCAUGCUCAAUGUUUUUCCAUUUUUAAUUUUUUGUGGAUACAUG
rnacentral:lncRNA from 1 species